GAUGAACGCUGGCGGCGUGCCUAAUACAUGCAAGUCGAGCGAACAGACUAGGAGCUUGCUCCUCUGACGUUAGCGGCGGACGGGUGAGUAACACGUGGAUAACCUACCUAUAAGACUGGGAUAACUUCGGGAAACCGGAGCUAAUACCGGAUAAUAUAUUGAACCGCAUGGUUCAAUAGUGAAAGACGGUUUUGCUGUCACUUAUAGAUGGAUCCGCGCCGCAUUAGCUAGUUGGUAAGGUAACGGCUUACCAAGGCAACGAUGCAUAGCCGACCUGAGAGGGUGAUCGGCCACACUGGAACUGAGACACGGUCCAGACUCCUACGGGAGGCAGCAGUAGGGAAUCUUCCGCAAUGGGCGAAAGCUUGACGGAGCAACGCCGCGUGAGUGAUGAAGGUCUUCGGAUCGUAAAACUCUGUUAUUAGGGAAGAACAAAUGUGUAAGUAACUAUGCACGUCUUGACGGUACCUAAUCAGAAAGCCACGGCUAACUACGUG
rnacentral:rRNA from 1 species